GUAGUUUGAUAUUGAGUGUCUGUACCGCAUGUACAGGAUAGGUAGGAGCCGUAGAGAUCGGGACGCCAGUUUCGAUGGAGGCAAUGGUGGGAUACUACCCUUGCGUUAUGGCCACUCUAACCCGCAGCCCUUAUCGGGCUGGGAGACAGUGUCAGAUGGGCAGUUUGACUGGGGCGGUCGCCUCCUAAAAGGUAACGGAGGCGCCCAAAGGUUCCCUCAGAAUGGUUGGAAAUCAUUCGAAGAGUGUAAAGGCAGAAGGGAGCUUGACUGCGAGAGCUACAACUCGAGCAGGGACGAAAGU
rnacentral:rRNA from 2 species